GUGUAUGUCAGCUAAGCAGACCUUUAGCUACUUAAGUUAUCGUUAGUUUACAAACGAUAGUGGAUACUUAAAGACUGAUACUUUUUAUUUAACAUUACACAUAGCUUGUUGUAUGAUUUCUAGUCAAGAAUGGUGCAAUGUGCUGUUCCUCGGCUAGCCCAACUGGAAUAGAUGGGGAAUGUGUCACUUGAGAAUGGAGGAUACCAUCAUCAGUGAUGAUAGCUGCAUUAACGGUGUGGUGGCGUUACAGCAGUGGCUGUCUCCUUGUCUCCGGAUGGGGACUGCUGCUCUGCCUGCUCCUGUGCUCUCUGGUGGCGCUGUUGGUGGGGGUGGAGGACCAGUGCUGUGCCACUCUAAAGGGGAUUGCCCAGUUGCACUGCCAGCUAUGGGGUGAACUUCCGCUGUCCAGUCCACCAGCCUCACUGUCCCUUUCACAGCCCUCGAUCUCCUGCCCCUAAGGGCCAAGCCCAGUAUAGGUCCUUCCCAACAAUGAAGAGAGGAAUAAAAGCGAUAAUACAACUUAUAAAUGCGCAGUAAGUAACGAUAACUUGGCUAUAUACACGGGGUACCAGUACUGAGUCGAUGUGCAGGAGUACAAGGUAAUUGAGGAACAUGUGCAGUGAGCUCAAAGUAUUGGGACAGUAACACGUUCUGUUUUGGCUCUGUACUCCAGCACUUUGGAUUUGAAAUGAAAUAACGACCGAGACUGUAUUGGGUGACCCGUUUAGAAAUUACAGCCCUUUUUGUACAUAGUCCCCACAUUUUAGGGGACUGAAAGUAUUGGGAUAAAUUUACUUGUAUGUGUAUUAAAGUAGUCAAGUUUAGUGUUUGGUCCCAUUUCUUGCAUGCAAUGAUUACAUGUAGCUUGUGACUACAAACUUGUUGGAGACAUUUGCUUUUUUUUGGUUGUUUCAGAUUAUUUUGUCCCCAAUUGUAAAUAAUGUUUGGUCGCUUAUUAAGAAUAGAUUGUUUCUAGACACUUCUACAUUAAUGUGGAUGCUACCAUGUUUAUGUUCAUACAAAUAUUUACACAUGUUAAGUUUGCUGAAAAUAAAGCUGUUGACAGUGAGGAUGUUUUUUUUUUUUGUUUUUUUCUGAGUUUACUUCCCCACAGCCAGAUUAAUUUGUGGAGACCAUUUUUAUGUCUCUGCGUGCAGUUUGAAGGAAGUUGCUAACUAGCGUUAGUGCAAUUCCUAACUAUCUUUAACACAAUCACAAAGCUAACUUUAACUUACUUCAUAGUGCAUGCAGACAUACAAAUGGUAUCCAUGAAUUCAUCUGUCUGGGGAAGUAGAUAAAGGCCCAAAAUCCCAAAGUAUCCCUUUAACACACUUCUGACAGCACAGCCUGGUUAUGUAAUAUGUGUGUGUGUGGU